UAUUUUCCCCUGAAUAUUUAUUUUUUAAUCUCCAGUAUGAGACUUGGUUUUGUUUCUGUUAUUUUUUAAGGCUGAACUUUUUUGAUAUUGUUUACAAAGGAGAUAUUUGAAUGAUUACAUAAAUCUAUACACACAUGAAGGAAGAUGGGUCUCUUGAGAAAAUAUAAAAUUAAUCCCUUAAAUUUAAAAAGAAGACAGAAAAAGUUGUUUUUAAACUUUCUAACAAGGAAGAAUGGAAGAUAAGCACAACUGCCAUAGAAAAUGAAGAUCUGCCACGAAUAAAUGGAACCAUUUCUACUUUUCUGGCUCACACCAAGAAACGUGAAAGCCCAAAGAAGAGAAUUUUGGUCAUAGUGAACAGGAAGACAACAGACACAGGUGACAAGGUUAUACAAAGGAGAAUCCUCAUCAGAAAGAGUAACAGGAGAGCACUGACAAGUUUUCUAAAUUGAUGGGAGAAUCAACUGAGGAGGAAAAUGUGUGUGUUUACUAAAGGAGAGAGGCUGCAAGAGCCUCCAAGAAAAAGAAAAUAUUUUUGCCAUGUUAAUUUUCAUGAUGGAGUGAAUGAAAAACAGCAUGGACACAAUAUGGUCAUAUUCCUUUGAUGAUUCAGCCACCUCACUCCUGCCAUGCUCUGCUGGGACUCCAAAGACUUUUGGAAGCUUUGAAGGAGUGAGAAAAAAAUCAAAUAGAAGAGGAUUUUCAGAAAUUUGUCAAGGUUUUCCAAGUAGAAGUUGA
ensembl:lncRNA